UACCUGGUUGAUCCUGCCAGUAGUCAUAUGCUUGUCUCAAAGAUUAAGCCAUGCAAGUCUAAGUACGAGCUCUCGUACAGUGAAACUGCGAAUGGCUCAUUAAAUCAGUUAUGGUUCAUUUGAUCGUACAGUUUACUUGUAUAACUGUGGUAAUUCUAGAGCUAAUACAUGCGAGAAGCGCCGACCUCGCGGGAGGCGUGCAUUUAUCAGACCAAAAACCGGCCGCGUCUUCGGGCGCGUUCGCCUUGGUGACUCUGGAUAACUUUGCGGAUCGCACGGUCUAGCACCGGCGACGGAUCAUUCAAGUGUCUGCCCUAUCAACUUUCGUCGGUACGGUAUUUGCCUACCGAGGUUCUUACGGGUGACGGGGAAUCAGGGUUCGAUUCCGGAGAGGGAGCCUGAGAAACGGCUACCACAUCCAAGGAAGGCAGCAGGCGCGCAAAUUACCCAUUCCCGACGCGGGGAGGUAGUGACGAAAAAUAACAAUGCAGGACUCGUUCGAGGCCCUGUAAUUGGAAUGAGUACACUUUAAAAGCUUUAACGAGUAUCCAUUGGAGGGCAAGUCUGGUGCCAGCAGCCGCGGUAAUUC
rnacentral:ncRNA from 1 species